rnacentral:rRNA from 1 species
CAGUAGCCGCGGUAAUACGGAGGGUGCAAGCGUUAAUCGGAAUUACUGGGCGUAAAGCGCACGCAGGCGGUCUGACAAGUCAGAUGUGAAAUCCCCGGGCUUAACCUGGGAACUGCAUUUGAAACUGUCAGGCUGGAGUCUUGUAGAGGGGGGUGGAAUUCCAGGUGUAGCGGUGAAAUGCGUAGAGAUCUGGAGGAAUACCGGUGGCGAAGGUGGCCCCCUGGACAAAGACUGACGCUCAGGUGCGAAAGCGUGGGGAGCAAACAGGAUUAGAUACCCCGGUAGUCCCUGUCUCUUAUAC